UGUCUGUGGUAGGUGUGGCUGAGGAUCGGACCAGAGAUAAGCGCGCGAAUAAACCUUGUUUAUCGUAACGAAGACUUGUACAUUUUGGUGGUGUUUUGCCAGGGACUGACAGAAAGAGUCAUAGAAACAGUAGCACAUCUCAUUCACUUGCAGGCUCAUGAACUGUCUGCGCGGCUAACACACUUUGCCACUGGAGGCACUACAGAGCGAAACGGACGGCAGAAAUCAAGGGGGUAUUCCAGAAAGCAGAGGGCUGUACUACGAAGCGAGAUAAUAUGUGAUGCCACCCACAUCAUCACAAAUGUGGAAGCCAAAUGGCCAAGGUCUGUACAUGAUUCAGGGGUGUUUUGUGAGUCCACCUUGUACAACAACUUUGAACAGGGUGGAUUUGGGUGAGGAGACCAUGUCAGCCAUGUCUGACACACACAUCCAGGUUGACCUAUUUCAUCACUUGUAUUUUUUUUGUCUAUUUAACAGUGAAUAACAUAGGCUAAUACUAGACUAUGUAUGGCAAAUUGUCAUGAGCUGAUAUUUCCAGUCAUACAUCUAUUGAAUGAGAAUGAACCUUCAAGAGAACAAAGCUUUGGUCAGUUGGCAAUCGCAUUAUUGUCUUUCAGGAGGAGCUAAAUCAACCAUUUUCCCCACAGGUUAUCUCCUCUCAGGCCUCUCAGAGAACUUAAAGGGUAGCUUUUCCUUUGCUAUUAAAAGGAUUAUUCCUACUGACAAUAUGUAACACUAAUGAUGCCGCAUCCUGCUUGCCAUGUUCGUUCUCUCAAUGUGUUUUGCUGUGCAGGCUGGAUUUGACAAUGUCAGGUUGCUCUAUAAGCGUAUGGUUGAGCUCGACUGCUAGAAAAAAAUGCUACAAAUAAAAAAACUUAAACUGGAAAUAGAAAAACUGGAACAUGACAAAAAGGUAUUGCUAUACUUUGAUCAUCCUUUGAUUAAUAUGUCUCUACCAUCUGUAACUUUUUUUCUUUUAAUUUUUAGGAC